AAAAAAACUUUAUUUAUCGGUUUACAAAACAUAUUAAUAAUAAAUUGUAAAUAUAAAAAAUUACAAGAUGAGUUCAAAAAAAAUUAACGACUAGAUUAAUAAUUACAAAUAUAUAAACAGUAUACUAUAAAAACAAACGGCUCAAUGGAUGGAAUAAAAUUCUAUAUACACAUACAAUAAAUUUCAAAUUAAUUUUUGGCAAGAAUUCAACAACAACUAUUCACAACAAACGUAAACGUAUAUAUUUUUAUUUUCAACCUCAUUUAAAAACAAACGCCAGUGUAUUGGGUGAUUUACAAAACGAAUGAGAGGGCUGCAUAUAUUAAACAUCUAGUUUUGUACGUUUCAUAUCCAUUCCGAAUAAAAAAAAUGCUAAGAUAAUCUUGCUUUCGAUUCAUAGGGAUGCACAAUCGCUGGACAGCUGUUUCUGCCAUUGCAGGCUUCCUCAACAGCGCUAGCGUGCACACCUCUGAAUCGAAAACCAGCUAGCCCAUCUAUUUAACUUUUCUAUCUUUACUCAGAUUUGAGUAUUGGGAAGACCUUUUCCUAGACGAAUGAAAACGCAAUGUGACUGCAUAUAGUAGAGUCCUUUUUGUUUUCUAUAUUCGUCGUCUGCUGUCUUAUAAAUUGUAAAAGUCGCAGAUAAAGGAUGUACCAAAAAGAACUUUCAACAAGAAAAGUUUCAGAUUUAAAUAACUAUUUACCAUUUUAAUUUUUAUUAUAAUGGUGAAUUCUGCAGCUGAGGCUUUUCAGUUUGACUAACAUAAUCGUUUAUUUUUUUUUAAUCAUUUGUUUCAAAUGUUUGGAUGGAAAAAACUUGUUACCACGUAACAGAGAACAAAUUCCACUAAGAAAUAAAACACUAAACUAUUAUUCCUAUGUAAUACUACGUUAUAAAAACGUCAUUCUUAAAAAGCUCUAACUUCCUUUAAGAGUAUUUUUGACAAAAUCAUUUAGUUUUCUUUUCAAGAAAAGAAGUUAAUUAUAUAUUUUCUAGUCUCUUUAUCCUCUAUGUAAGUAUUUUUUUUUGUAAAAAUGUAGGAAAGCAAAUUUGUAAAUCCGUAAUAAACAUAACUAAAAACGUCUGUUCAAUUUAUCUUUUCUUGAUGUUAAAUGCUACAAAAGUUUCACUUUUUCUUUGACCCUCUUUAUUGUAAAUCACCCAAUAUAAAUAGAAAAACCUUAUAAAACAAUGAAAUAAUCUUUAAAAUGUUUAAUGUAAUAUCACAAGGUGUCCGCUGUUUGCUUGAGAAAACUUCAAAGACACACUGUGCAUUGAAUUUCGAUAAUUUAUUAUUGCACAAGCGUUCAAAUACAAUCAAUUUCAAUUUUUUUAACCCUUUCAGUCAUCAUGUAUGUACGCAACUCAGCAAUGAAGUAUAGUUGCCAUCAAGUUAUUUCAUAAAACCUUAAUCUUAAGCUUAUUACAAAAUCAUUUGCAUUUGAGUGGUGUGGUUCAGCUUCCAGCACAGGUAGAAAGUAAUCUAUUGUUUUACUGUAUGUUGUACGUUUAAUUAUUAUACCUGCUAUUCAGUAUGUUUACCUCUCGAAAUUUAACGAUACUACUCAAAUACAAAUGACUUUGUAAUAACGUUAAGAUACGGUUUUCUGCAAUAAUUUGUUGGCAAGUAUACUAAAAAAUGAAACGUUGUUGUAUUGCUGGAGCCUCUACUUGAUAAUCAUCAUCGUUAUCGCUGUUCAAUCAGUGCCCCGCAAUAUUUGAGCCACUUAGAGUCAGAGU
rnacentral:lncRNA from 1 species